rnacentral:rRNA from 2 species
AGUGGGGAAUAUUGGACAAUGGGCCACAAGCCUGAUCCAGCAAUUCUGUGUGCACGAUGAAGGUCUUCGGAUUGUAAAGUGCUUUCAGUUGGGAAGAAGAAAGUGACGGUACCAACAGAAGAAGCGACGGCUAAAUACGUGCCAGCAGCCGCGGUAAUACGUAUGUCGCAAGCGUUAUCCGGAUUUAUUGGGCGUAAAGCGCGUCUAGGCGGAAAAAUAAGUCUGAUGUUAAAAUGCGGGGCUCAACUCCGUAUUGCGUUGGAAACUGUUUUUCUAGAGUACUGGAGAGGUGGGCGGAACUACAAGUGUAGAGGUGAAAUUCGUAGAUAUUUGUAGGAAUGCCGAUGGAGAAGUCAGCUCACUGGACAGAUACUGACGCUAAAGCGCGAAAGCGUGGGGAGCAAA